rnacentral:rRNA from 1 species
CAGCAGCCACGGGAAUACGUAGGUGGCAAGCGUUGUCCGGAAUUAUUGGGCGUAAAGCGAGCGCAGGCGAUUAGAUAAGUCUGAAGUUAAAGGCUGUGGCUUAACCAUAGUACGCUUUGGAAACUGUUUAACUUGAGUGCAAGAGGGGAGAGUGGAAUUCCAUGUGUAGCGGUGAAAUGCGUAGAUAUAUGGAGGAACACCGGUGGCGAAAGCGGCUCUCUGGCUUGUAACUGACGCUGAGGCUCGAAAGCGUGGGGAGCAAACAGGAUUAGAUACCCCAGUAGUCCCUGUCUCUUAUACA